ACUGUUUUUCUUAACACCUUCUGGCUAUUAGUAUUUUUCUUUCAAAAUAUUUUUUUUCCUUAUUGCAAUUAAUACUCCCAAUUGGUGACUGUUGUUGCCAUAGAAACAUUGACUUGGACAGACUCAGACUAAUUACUGUCAUUUGGCUCCAACAUGGCGACAUCCGUAUCUCAGAAAAAUGGCGACUAAGUUGGUUUCAUUUUGCUGGAGGUUUGGUCAAAUCCCGCCAGCCUGCGCCGCCUCUUCAGCUCAUCCUCCACAGAGGAACUCAGCUGGUGGCUGAUGGAUGAGUUUUGCAGCGAGCGGCGAGGAAGACUGUUCCUCUGAGGCAAGGCAGAGCUGUGGUUAGUCAGAGAGCGGACUCGGCGCCGGCCCUCAGCAGAUCAUUUGGGUAGACGAGCAAAAACCCAAAGAGGAUGAGCAGAAUCUCCAAAGAGCUCUUCCCACGGUCCACAAAGUCUCCAUUAAAGAUAGACGUGAUUGAUGUUUGGAAGGAUUCUUAGAAGUCUCCAAGUUUCCCCAAGAAUCUGCAGAACAUACCGAGCGUGGAGCUGCUACUGGGAGAAAAAACAUGUGCGUGAACAAACUGACUUCCAGAGUAAAUAUAAAA